rnacentral:tRNA from 1 species
GCGAGCAUGGUCUAGUGGUUAUGACGCCUGCUUUACACGCAGGAGAUCCCGAGUUCGAUCCUCGGUGUUCGUAC